CAGCCGUCAUCACGUAAAAACGAUGAAUCAAAGAAUUCAACUUUAUAUAUAACUGAUAUAGUACAAUGGUGUUGAUUAAAAAUUACACCACUCCAGGCCCCUUUGUUUUCCACGAAAUUAAUAUUGCCAAUAAUUAAGAAGUUCCGGAUCGAGUCCGACACCGAUACCAAUAGUAUAUUCACCUGUUACCUAUUACCUUAUCUGUACGUUCCGCAUCUGACAGGCGCACCACCAAACGGUGUAUUUAGAAUUUUGUUGUAUACUGUUGAGUAAGAAAUACUCCAUUCCAGGCCCUUUUGUUUUCAAAAUUAUUAAUAUUACCAAUAAUUGAUAGGUUCCAGGUCGACGGGUUCAAACAGAAAGAUUUUGAAAGCAGAG
rnacentral:lncRNA from 1 species